rnacentral:SRP_RNA from 1 species
CGUCGGCCUCCCCGCAACGAGUGGCUGUGAACCCCGUCAGGCCCGGAAGGGAGCAGCGGCAGCAGUCUCCUCGUGUGCCGGGGUCGGGUUGGCGUGG